UACGAAGGUCCCAAGCGUUAUCCGGAUUUAUUGGGUUUAAAGGGUGCGUAGGCGGGCUAUUAAGUCAGUGGUGAAAGCCCAUCGCUUAACGGUGGAACUGCCAUUGAUACUGCUAGUCUUGAGUAUGGUUGAGGUGGGCGGAAUGUGUCAUGUAGCGGUGAAAUGCUUAGAUAUGACCCAGAACACCAAUUGCGAAGGCAGCUCGCUAAGCCAUAACUGACGCUGAGGCACGAAAGCGUGGGGAGCAAACAGG
rnacentral:rRNA from 1 species